ensembl:misc_RNA Y_RNA Y RNA
AGCUGGUCUGAAGGUAAUGAGUUAUCUCAAUUGAUUGUUCACAGUCAGUUACAGAUCGAACUCCUUGUUCUAUUCUCUCCCCCUUUCUCACUACUGCACUUGACUAGUCUUAA